GGGACCGUGGUGGAAGGGUAAGCGUGGCUGCCUCUCACCCAGUCGCCUUGGGUUCGAUCCCAGACGGUUCCG
rfam:Culex pipiens quinquefasciatus supercont3.94 genomic scaffold, whole genome shotgun sequence.